rnacentral:tRNA from 1 species
CGCGGAGUGGAGCAGUUGGCAGCUCGUCGGGCUCAUAACCCGAAGGUCGCAGGUUCAAGUCCUGUCCCCGCAACCA